AUUUGCACGACUAAAUUCAUUUUAUUUUUGUCCUUAGAUGUCAGACACCGAGGCUGCCAGUACCUCUGGGUCGAUAGUCCAUGUGUUGGAUGAUGCACCGCCGUUGAUCAGAACAGACAGCGUAUACGAGAGAUGUCAGCGAUUCGGGCCAAACAGCCAAUGACCAAGGGAAAGCUGGGAUAAAAGAGAGGCUUACACGGUAAGCAUGUUUCCUGCUGCCUUCAGUCAGUGCAUUUUCACUCUGUAGUCAAAUAAAAUAAAAUACAAUUUUAUUGGUCACCUACACAUGGUUAGCAGAUGUUAAUGCGAGUGUAGCGAAAUGCUUGUGCUUCUAGUUCCGACCGUGCAGUAAUAUCUAACAAUUUCACAACAACUACCUUAUACACACAAAUCUAAAGGGGUGAAUAAGGAUAUGUACAUAUAAAUAUAUGGAUGAACGAUGGCCGAACGGCAUAGGCAAGAUGCAGUAGAUGGUAUAGAGUACAGUAUAUACAUAUGAGAUGAGUAAUGUAGGGUAUGUAAACAUGAUAUAAAGUGGCAUUGUUUAAAGUGACUAGUGAUACAUUUAUUACAUCCAAUUUUUUAUUAUUAAAGUGGGUAGAGAUUUGAGUAAGUAUGUUGGCAGCAGCCACUCAAUGUUAGUGAUGGCCUUGAGAUAGAAGCUGUUUUUCAGUCUCUCGGUCCCAGCUUUGAUGCACCUGUACUGACCUGGCCUUCUGGAUGAUAGCGGGGUGAACAGGCAGUGGCUCGGGUGGUUGUUGUCCUUGAUGAUCUUUUUGGCCUUCCUGUGACAUCGGGUGGUGUAGGUGUCCUGGAGGGCAGGUCGUUUACCCCCUAUGAUGCGUUGUGCAGACCUCACUACCCUCUGGAGAGCCUUGCGGUUAUGGGCAGAGCAGUUGCCGUACCAGGCGGUGAUACAGCCCGACAGAAUGCUCUCGAUUGUGCAUCUGUAAAAGUUUGAGUGUUUUUGGUGACAAGCCAAAUUUCUUCAGCCUCCUGAGGUUGAAGAGGCGCUGUUGCGCCUUCUUCACCACGCUGUCUGUGUGGGUGGACCAUUUCAGUUUGUCCGGGAUGUGUACGCCGAGGAACUUAAAACUUUCCACCUUCUCAACUACUCUUCACUUCCAAACCUAAUGAUUAGAAGACU
rnacentral:lncRNA from 8 species